GAUGAACGCUGGCGGCGCGCCUAACACAUGCAAGUCGAACGAUUAAAGCACCUUCGGGUGUGUAUAAAGUGGCGAACGGCUGAGUAACACGUGGGCAACCUGCCCCUUUCAUUGGGAUAGCCACGGGAAACCGUGGAUAAUACCGAAUACUUCGAGACUUCCGCAUGGAAGACUCGAGAAAGCUCCGGCGGAGAGGGAUGGGCCCGCGGCCUGUUAGCUUGUUGGUGGGGUAACGGCCUACCAAGGCAAUGAUGGGUAGCUGGGUUGAGAGACCGACCAGCCAGAUUGGGACUGAGACACGGCCCAGACUCCUACGGGAGGCAGCAGUGGGGAAUCUUGCACAAUGGGCGAAAGCCUGAUGCAGCGACGCCGCGUGCGGGAUGAAGGCCUUCGGGUUGUAAACCGCUUUCAGCAGGGACGAGUCGAAAGUGACGGUACCUGCAGAAGAAGCCCCGGCUAACUACGUG
rnacentral:rRNA from 1 species